rnacentral:rRNA from 1 species
UACGGAGGAUGCGAGCGUUAUCCGGAUUUAUUGGGUUUAAAGGGUGCGUAGGCGGAAUGCCAAGUCAGCGGUAAAAUCGCGGGGCUCAACCUUGCUCCGCCGUUGAAACUGGCGUUCUUGAGUGGGCGAGAAGUAUGCGGAAUGCGUGGUGUAGCGGUGAAAUGCAUAGAUAUCACGCAGAACUCCGAUUGCGAAGGCAGCAUACCGGCGCCCAACUGACGCUGAAGCACGAAAGCGUGGGUAUCGAACAGG